GCUCAGGAUGAACGCUGGCGGUAUGCUUAACACAUGCAAGUCGAACGGGAUGCUUAGGCAUCUAGUGGCGGACGGGUGAGUAACGCGUGAGAAUCUGGCUCCAGGUCGGGGAUAACAGUUGGAAACGACUGCUAAUACCGGAUGUGCCGAGAGGUGAAAGAUUUAUUGCCUGGAGAUGAGCUCGCGUCUGAUUAGCUAGUUGGUGGUGUAAGGGACCACCAAGGCGUCGAUCAGUAGCUGGUCUGAGAGGAUGAUCAGCCACACUGGGACUGAGACACGGCCCAGACUCCUACGGGAGGCAGCAGUGGGGAAUUUUCCGCAAUGGGCGAAAGCCUGACGGAGCAAUACCGCGUGAGGGAGGAAGGCUCUUGGGUCGUAAACCUCUUUUCUCAAGGAAGAAGAAAGUGACGGUACUUGAGGAAUAAGCAUCGGCUAACUCCGUGCCAGCAGCCGCGGUAAUACGGAGGAUGCAAGCGUUAUCCGGAAUGAUUGGGCGUAAAGGGUCUGCAGGUGGAACUGAAAGUCUGCUGUUAAAGAGUUUGGCUUAACCAAAUAAAAGCGGUGGAAACUACAGAACUAGAGUGCGGUAGGGGCAAAAGGAAUUCCUGGUGUAGCGGUGAAAUGCGUAGAUAUCAGGAAGAACACCGGUGGCGAAAGCGUUUUGCUAGACCGUAACUGACACUGAGGGACGAAAGCUAGGGGAGCGAAUGGGAUUAGAUACCCCAGUAGUCCUAGCCGUAAACGAUGGAUACUAGGCGUGGCUUGUAUCGACCCGGGGG
rnacentral:rRNA from 1 species